GACGAAGGUGGCAAGCGUUGCUCGGAUUUACUGGGCAUAAAGCGCGCGUAGGUGGUCCUGUAAGCGAGAGAUGAAAUCCCAUGGCUCACCCAUGGAACUGUCCCUCGGACUGCAGGGCUUGAGGACGGGAGGGGAGAAUGGAAUUCCCGGUGUAGCGGUGAAAUGCGUAGAUAUCGGGAGGAACGCCGGUGGCGAAAGCGAUUCUCUGGUCCGUUCCUGACACUGAGGCGCGAAAGCUAGGGGAGCAAACAGG
rnacentral:rRNA from 1 species